AGAGUUUGAUCCUGGCUCAGAUUGAACGCUGGCGGCAGGCCUAACACAUGCAAGUCGAGCGGAUGAAGGGAGCUUGCUCCCGGAUUCAGCGGCGGACGGGUGAGUAAUGCCUAGGAAUCUGCCUGGUAGUGGGGGACAACGUUCCGAAAGGAGCGCUAAUACCGCAUACGUCCUACGGGAGAAAGUGGGGGAUCUUCGGACCUCACGCUAUCAGAUGAGCCUAGGUCGGAUUAGCUAGUAGGUGGGGUAAUGGCUCACCUAGGCGACGAUCCGUAACUGGUCUGAGAGGAUGAUCAGUCACACUGGAACUGAGACACGGUCCAUACUCCUACGGGAGGCAGCAGUGGGGAAUAUUGGACAAUGGGCGAAAGCCUGAUCCAGCCAUGCCGCGUGUGUGAAGAAGGUCUUCGGAUUGUAAAGCACUUUAAGUUGGGAGGAAGGGCAGUAAGUUAAUACCUUGCUGUNUUGACGUUACCAACAGAAUAAGCACCGGCUAACUUCGUGCCAGCAGCCGCGGUAAUACGAAGGG
rnacentral:rRNA from 1 species